rnacentral:lncRNA from 1 species
AUGGAGUGGAAUGCAACACACACGCAACACACACACAACACACACACAACGCACCCCACCUCGCCGCCCACUCCCGCCCUCCUCCCCAGUCCAAGAAACCGCGGGCCUCGCCGCCUUCGCCCCGGGCCUGUCCUUCCCAGGACUCACCGAGGAGCCGCCGCCGCCGCCUCGCCAGCUCCCGAGCGCGAGUUGGCGGAAAAGUUGGGCAGCGGGAAGAGCGGCGGGACGAGCGUAGGGAGGGGGCGCAGAAGGAGACGCGGGCGGAGGGAAGGGAGGAGAGACCCAAGGGGGGCGCGGAUCGCCCGGGAGGGAGCCGGGAGGUGGAAGGGGCGGGCGGCGAGCGGAGGGAGGCGCCGGUCCCGGCUGGGCUGCGGCGGGCAAAGCGCGCAGCCGGGAGGCUCCGGCGCCGGGGGCCGCUCGGGACGCCAAGCCAGCCCCGGAUCCGGGGGCGCCGCGACUCUUACCUCGCUCGGCGUGGAGGUUCCGCCUCGGGAGAGUCCGCCGUGGCUUGCGCGAGCGGGCGUGUGCCCGCGUCCCCGGCUCCGGCCCGCCGCCCCCGGGCUCUUUUCGGGUCCUGGCGGGGUCGCGAGAGCUCCGCGGCCGGCGCUCGACUCCCGGCGGCGCUCGGUGCUCGGCGCCUCCAGCCCGGGCGGGAACAAUGGAGCCGGAGCUGGUGCCCCGGAGGCGGGGCGGGGGGAGGGCUCCCGUCCGCCGCCCGGGGUCUCCAGACCUUGUGCCCCUCUUUUCCAGACCGCGGCGGCGGCGUCUCACGCUCCUUGCAGACCGGGCUCCAUCGCUCCGCGGAGGCCCCGGCGCCGCGGCGUGCCCGACUGCAGCACGGGUACCGUGCGCCCUGUGGGGCGCCCCGAGCUCGGACGGGAGAAAGUCCUCGGGUUCCGCGGCUUUUCGAGCAGCUGCGCGCUCGCGGCCGGGGAAGGCGAGGUCGCCGCAAUGCGCUACGCGGAGUGUCGGUCCCGUCCGGACGUGGCCCUGCUGCCGGCACAGCCCGGGUUCCUCCGCGCGCUACGGCUGCACCAGCGUCCCGGCUCCCGCUCACUGCCGCCCGCCGCCGAGGACGCCGCGCCUGUGACCGAAGGAGCGCUCCGAGCGCUGUGCGCCGGCGAGGCGCGAGGGCUCGCCCUCUCACUCCCACCGGCGCUGGUCCCUCCUCCGCCUCCGCCCCCUGCCGCUGCCUGCUGGGCCUUGUAG